rnacentral:rRNA from 1 species
UGAGGAACAUGACCUUCGGCGGGGGAUAGCCGGCCCAACGGCCGGGUAAUACCGCGUACGACCACAUGGGGACAUCCCUGAGUGGUGAAAGCAGCAAUGCGCCGAUGGAGUGCCUCGCGGCCUAUCAGCUAGUUGGUGAGGUAACGCUCACCAAGGCGACGACGGGUAGCUGGUCUGAGAGGAUGGCCAGCCACAGUUGGGACUGAGACACGGCCCAGACCUCGUACGGGA